rnacentral:rRNA from 1 species
GACGAACGCUGGCGGCGUGCUUAACACAUGCAAGUCGAACGGAAAGGCCCUGCUUUUGUGGGGUGCUCGAGUGGCGAACGGGUGAGUAACACGUGAGUAACCUGCCCUUGACUUUGGGAUAACUUCAGGAAACUGGGGUUAAUACCGGAUAGGAGCUCCUGCUGCAUGGUGGGGUUUGGAAAGUUUUGGCGGUUGGGGAUGGACUCGCGGCUUAUCAGCUUGUUGGUGGGGUAGUGGCUUACCAAGGCUUUGACGGGUAGCCGGCUUGAGAGGGUGACCGGCCCCAUUGGGCCUGAGAUACGGCCCAGACUCCUACGGGAGGCAGCAGUGGGGAAUAUUGCACAAUGGGCGGAAGCCUGAUGCAGCAACGCCGCGUGCGGGAUGACGGCCUUCGGGUUGUAAACCGCUUUCGCCUGUGACGCAGCGUGAGUGACGGUAAUGGGUAAAGAAGCACCGGCUAACUACGUG